GUUCAAUAAAAAGUUUUCAAAGAAACAAAAAUGUGCCCGAUUUUAAAAGAUCUUACACAUCUCUUUGAAAUAAACUUCAAAAUUCAAAAUAUAUCAAGAAAUUAGGAAAACUAAAUAAAACCCAACCAUUUACCAUAAUUUCAACAAAAUAUUGCAGCUUUGCAUUUCUUUCCAUAUUUCAUGUCAUGACAAAAUUAUUGCAACUACAACAACAACAGAUGAAUCGAUUAACCCAAAUGUCCGAACGUGCACGAUUAUUAUUUCUCAUUUGUAUGGCAAAACGGAGGUGAGCUGAAAGAGUACAACAAAUUAUAUGAAUGUGGGUGAACGUAUUUAAAAUGCGGGUACAUGAAAGGAUAAUUAUGUUUCGAAACUUUUUAUACAUAUGUAUAUGAAUAGAUAUAUGUAUAUUUGAGAGAUUUUUAGUAAUACUUAGCCUAAAAGUACACCAAAAUUCGACCGAUAGACACCAAUACAAAUAUAUUUGAUACGCACAUGGAUGCUUGGGCGCUGGCUUCGGUUGGAGCGUGAUUGUGAAUGAAUGAGUGGCAUAUCACGUGUCACACGAGCAGGCGUGCGUAUGUACGCAUCUGUGCGUGUCUAUGUGUGUGUGUGUGAAAUCAAAGCUUUUUGCGUGCGUUUGGGACACUGGCAUGGGACUGAAUCAAUUUGGCUUAUCGCUUUAAUGCGAAACGAGGCGACAGCACACCGAAUGUGUGGCACAAAAGAAAAUGUACGCAACAACAAAAACAACAACAGUUGCAACAAUGACAACCACUACAACAAGCAGAGCAAAGUUUUGUGCCAAAAAUUAGGCAAACGCACAAAAUGCAAAAUGAAGCAACGUACGCACACACGCCAGGGGUGUGUUUGAAAAGGGGUGCUGAAGAAACAUUGAAAGAGCAUCAAAAGGCAAGGGACAUAUGUACAUUGAAAUGAAGCUGCACAAAGCCAUACAAAAGUUCAUCAAUACCACCGCAUAUACACACAGGCAUAUAGGCACCAAUACUCAUGCAAAGGUUCGCGUGUCACAUAUAGUGACUUUCAAAUUAGCUUAAAGUGCGUGUUGUUGCAAGGUAUCUUCUUUGUGCGCACUCUGUGAUUUGCCCAGAACUGUCCGGCAGGAAUUAGCAACCGCAAAGGAAAGACAACAGGAGCGUGAGUAAUCAUGAAACCUAAAAUCCUGCUGCCUAAGCUUGUGGCAUUUAAAAUUUGACAAAGGCAUUGCAAAGCUGACAUUUCUAAACUUUAGAUUUUAUAAGUCAACUCUUCUAGAAUCUAUUUAUAUACCUCUCUAUGGUAUCCGCGGAAAGGAAGGAUUUGGGUCAAAUAAGCAUUAAGCUUAUUUCACGGAUGAAUCAAAGUUAAGUGGGAGAGUACAUGGUGGAUUCUUCUGUCGUGAACUCUCCAUCAACUCUAGUUUCAAACCACCAGACCGGUACAGUGGUCAAGCGACCGUAAAAGGUCAUGCAAACUACUAGCUUUUAGCAAAGUCCAUCUCACCGCAAUUAUAGGUAUUUUUACUGGACACUGUUCAAUAGGUUUACACGCAGUGCGGCUUAAAAUUCUGUCGAACGCUUUUUGCCAAAGCUAUAUAGAGGAAGGCGAGGUGGAAUCAUCUGGUCACUUCCAUCUCUAUUGCCCAGCUUUUGCCAAACUGAGAUUGAAAUAUCUCGGUAGACACACCUUUGGCGAAUCUAGCGAAGUUGUUGUCGGAAUUUCAUAAAACCACUUUCAUAGAAUCCCUCGUCUUUAUUGACAAAACUAACUGGGAUCAUCAAUUUUCAAAAGCUUCUCUGUAGGCAAAUUUUUACAAGCAAAAUCAUUCGCAAUAGACAGGUACAGUUACUAAUUAAUUGGUGUCAAGUACGUACUAAAAACUGAAUGCAUAAAAACCUCUCAACAAAUCUCUCGGAGCUUCUGGCGACUGAAUAGCGAUGUGUGUGACCUGGCGUUGACCUGGUGGAACAAAAUUAGUUACUCUCCAUUAGCCAAAGUUGAUCUAUUCUCUUUACUAGUAAAGCAUCGAUCAAACAUAUUAUAUUGAAGAGUAGGAGUCAGUUCCACAAAAAAAUGUUUAUGGAAUAAAAAUUCCACGUCGGUUUAAAAACAACUAGAGUAUAUCUAGUUAUUCUUCAAGGGAAAGUGUUUCACAAGUUCAGAAAACCUAUUUCAUUGUUUUAUAUAGAUGUUUUCGCAGUAGAUUUAAAGGAAGAUAUAGUAUAUUGGAUAAAAGCUACUUUUGAUAGCAAUUCCAGCUAUUAAUGCAAGACAGGAUCCCGGAAAGAAAGUGAAUAAAUUACAAAAAAACAAAAAAAAAAACACAGUUUUGAAUGCUUCCAGCAAUUCCAUUUACUUAAUACAAUAACAACAAUAACAAAAGAUGAGAUUAGUUGCUAUACGCUUUCGUAGUAAUCACUUACACCGCUUUUCCUAUUCAAAGUCGCAUGCUGCCAGAAAGCAACAACAAAAGAAGCUGCAGCAAAUGCUUCAGUCUUGCCACAAAAGCAACACAGUAAGCAUUCUAAGUUGGCUUUAAUAUAAAUUGUCUCCACCCGCACUUUGACUUAGCCCCGUAUCAGCUCUAUGGAAUAGAACCCAGCUACCAUCUUUAACGCUUUGAUAUAUGUAAGUGUGUGGGUAUGUGAGCUGUCAGUGUCGCUUUGACACUGAUGUACAUAGCACGCCAUAGACGCUGUGACACAUUUACAGCCUCAACAACAUUACUCUACUAUUGUUGUUGUACGCUCGAUUUCAUUUUUGUAAUUUGGUGUCAAAUAUGUACCAUGUACUGUUGCUGCCACAAGCAGUGCCUUGCUGUUGUAAGACUACCACUAGCAACUAGUAUGUGUGUUGUAAUUGUUGUAGCUGUCCGUCAGUUUGUUUGCUUUGGAUGCUCUUAGCCAUCGUACGCUCGUGUCUCGGUUUUUCUCGGUUUGACACAAAGACGUGCCUCUGAAUUUUUUAUUAAAUAUUAGUGCAAUGACAAUGACGUUGACUUUCGUCUUUUGCGCAUUUCCCUACGACUUUUGAACUAACACAAACCCAUGCAAAUACAGUUGAAUAUUUGUUUGUACAAUAUAUAUGCUUAACAUUAGUGUUGUUAUGCUUAUUGACAUUUUUUGCGCUGUUGUUGUCGCCAUUAUUGUCAUUGUUACCCGCUGCCUUUGUGUAGUUGGUGUCAGUCUAAUAUAAUUAAAUUAAAUAUUUAUUUUUGCUUUCCAUUCUUUGUCACAUAUUUUGAGCACACAAUGUUUAUGGCGCGUUUAUUUAUUUAUUUUUUUGUUUGUUUUUAUUGUUUUUUUUUUUUUUUACUAGAAUUUUUAAUGUGCUAUUUCGAGCUUUGCUGUAGGCAAUUUAACGUUCCAAAUUACAUUUAAAUGGCUGUCGUAUUGUUAAAAUAUUAUAAUUUCUUUGCAAAACAUAUAUAUUUACGGUGAGAUGUUUUUACGUAAAGAAAUUGCUAACGGCCACUUAGUAUUUCUAUAAAAAUAAACGCGAUAAGUAUAGAGUUUGAGGAGUCAGACAAAAAAUUCUUGGUUUGGCCAAAACCAUUUUCUUAAGCAAAACACAAAAAAAACUUUAACCGAAGUUAUAAUAUACAUAACAAGUACAUUUUUUUAUAGCGGGUACAUUUAUUAUAGGAGGGUAUAGAAAUCUUUAACCUCGAUUUUGAUCGGUCAGUUUAUAUUGCAGCUAUCCACUCAAGUUGUACGAUCUAAACAAUUUCGAUGAAGAUUGUAGCCUCAGAUAAUAAGCUAUGCCAAAUUUCGUGGCGAUACCUUGUCAAAUAAAAAAGUUUUCGAUACAAGGAAUUGAGUGCGAUCGGCCAGUUUCUACGGCAGCUAUAUAUUAUAUGUAUAUGUGCUUUUGGUCCGAAAUCGGCGAUUUCCACAAAUGAGUAGCUUCUUGGGGGGAAAAGGAUGUAUGCAAAAUUUCUUAGCGAUAUCUCGCGCUGAUUAUUAUUAUAUAGGAAAUAUCGGAUUAUUUCUGGCUGUUAACACUUCGUGAUAAACUUAAUAUACCCUGUUCAAGCUAUAAAAAAUUAGGCUUGCUGUGUUUGUCGGCGUAAGCUUACAAGAUCUUGAUGGUUACUGUUCAAAACAAGAUACGUCACUGUAAUUUUAAUAAUAUAAGUUUCGGCAAUACAAAUUUUUCGACCUUUAAAAUACAUAAUUUUUCUAUCACUAGAUCUGAAAUAUAAUCGCACACCCCACUUUUCACUGUCAAGGUUAAGCCAUAUAGUAAAAAAAAAUUAUUUGAUUCGGUAUUUAUUUCCUUUCUUUAAAUUUAUUUUAUUCAGCAGCUUUACAGGUUAUGAAAAAAUAUAUAUAAGCAUAUAACUACCUUGUGGGAAAAAAUUUUAGCCGGCAAGAGUUACUUAUUGUUCACAAAUUGUUAACAGCACAUGAAAAAUUUUAUUGUUUAUAAAUGAAUACAAAAUAUUUUUUUUUUUAAUUUUGAUGAAAUUAAAAUAUUUUUAUAAAAAACUCCGUUUUUCUUUUACACACAUACAUUCAUACACAUUUGUACAUAAAAAGAAACAUUUUGGAAAGCAGCGGUUUUAUUCAUGGUUGCCUUUUCACUCAAAUUCAGUGGCGCUAAAACUAUACAAACAGGCAUUGUGCCAUUAUUAUAUGUAUGUCACCCAAAAACAAAACUAGCUACUCCAUACUCUCAAUGCUAACUAAAUAUGCUGUUAUAUAAAUUACCAUGCACAUACAUAUGCAGAUUUGUAUGUACCUGUAUGUUUGUCGAUAUUGUUUAAUAGCUUAAUUAUACAAGAAAACAUGCACGAAAUUGACUUACCAAGUAAAAUAUUAUACAAUUAUAUUAAUUAAACACUCCUACCACCCGUCCUUUCCACAAAUCGCUACACUCACGCACUUACAUACUUUUUCACUUUACCGAAUCACUACACGUAAGCUAGUUUCGUCCCGAAUUACUUACACGCGAAGAAAAACGCUUUUUA